GGGGGGGGGGUUAGCAUGAAAAGGCAGCACGGGAAAAAUAUUAGGAGACAAAAGCGGCAACCUCAAGGAUCAUUUGCUUUAGUUAAUAUGGCAGCAGGCGCCGGGUGUGGGGGAAGAUCAACAUGCUGCCUGCUCAGCCGGACUCCUCUCCCCGCGAGGAUGAAAGGAGGUGAUCCCGUGCCAGAGGGACCCGAGAGCAAUGAACAUAGGGCUGUUUCUAUCAGUGCCAGCAUGUUUGCAGCGAUGCUUGUCAACAUCCACCAGAGAGCAGGGCAGCUCCAAUACCCACAUCUUUUAUGCUGUGGAAAUCGUUGGAGACAGCAACACAGCCAGCUCCUUGGCCAAACAACAUGGAUUGCAGUUCAUUUCAAAGGUACUGGUCUCAGCCUAUAAGGCUUAUACAUGAUGGAUGCAAGAGCGAUUUCCAACAGAGAGAAGCUUAUCACAGAUCCACCUAAAAGGGAGCUUUCACCAUCCUGAAACUUGAGAGGAUUUGAGUGGUCAAGGAGUAGAUUGGCAUCAGUUUUAAACAUUUAAGGUGAAACGGGUGAACAUCAGACAGCUCAUUAUAGAGACAAGCAUGCUGCAGUCCCAAAGUAGGAUGACAGAACAAGUCAUGAUCUUGUACAGAAGGAAAAUGAGAUCCCUAGUGAAGUCUACAAUGUCACUGACUCUGAAGAAGGUCUCAGAGACCUGUUAGUGUUUAAUGAUCCUUAUUGGCUUGUACAACAGGAACGGUCACAGUGAGACUCCAGAAGAGAUGGAGGAAAAACUUUUGGUUGUGUGAAACAAUCUGAAGAUGAGUCCUGUUUGAUCAGCGGCCCACAACUGUGCCAACCAGCUGGAGGGUUGAGCUCAUGAGCAUAGCUUUGUUUUUUCUAUGCCAGCUUCUUGAAGUACUUUAUGAAGAAAGCCACACAGUAUCCUGAUAAGUAGGAAAAUGUUUUUAGAUUUCAAAAUGUUAUUCAUUCCACAAUGGGACCAAAACGAAACCUUUGGAGAUUUUACUUUGAAAGAGACUGAUGUAGUCUGGGUUGGCCAAUUGCCCAAUGGCUAGAGGAUAAGGGAAGCUUGACUUACGUCCUGGCUUUGCUGUUAUCCAGGAUCCCUAACUGUGAUGCUACUGACUAUUCUGGGGGGAAUAUGCCUCCCACUCUGGCUAGUACCAUAUGGAGCCAAAUUUUGCCUGAGAUAUGGCUGUGUCCAUCUCCCAUUAAAAUCAACAGAUGCUGUGUGUAUAAUAAUAUUAGAAGGAAGUUGGAAAAAAUUAUCAGAAUGCAAGGAAGGAGAGGUAAAAGGAUGAGAAGAAAAAAUCUAUAAACAGAUUUCCAUUCACAAUAGUUGUGAGUUCAGAAAAUAUCUACCUAACUUAAGUAGCUUUAUUUUUGUUUAUUUUAUUGUAGCAACACAUCUAUAAAUGCUGGGAACACUCCUUGUGUAAAACUGAAGAGCACAAUUCCAGUGAAGCGGGGAGCCUCGUUCCCUUAGGUGUGUGCCUUCAGAAGUCCCGACCUGUGGACACCUGGAACACGUCCAGACAAGUGUGCACAUGCAUUCCCUCAGGGACAACUAGCAAUGGCACAUAGUUGUGCCACUGCUACUUGUCCCCAGAGAAUACCCCUGCAGACGCGCUUUGGUGCACGGCAGAUUGCCCCAAGUGGGGUAGGGGAGGCUAUGGCCAGUACCUGGGCUGGCCCCAGCAGCCUUACCUGAGGUCCUGGUGGCCUCCCAGGCUUGCAGCAGUGGAGAUCCAGGUAUGCAGAGCCUGGCUGGCAGCCAGAGCAUGGCUCUGGCUGGCCAGGCUCAGGUUUCGGGUGGCGCAUGUUGCAGCCAUGUGCAUUGCCCCAGUUUUUUUAAAACCAUUCUUUUUAGAUACAGGGUUUUCCUUGUAUCUAAUUUUUGCUCUACACUGCACAUUUGCAGUGUGGAAAACCUUUUCGCAUGUGCAUGAGGUACUACAUGCAUUUUGUAGUACCUCAAAAACUUUUGAGGCACUGCAAAGAGCACGUGUGCUCGUCUAGACACACCCCUGGGGACUGGGAUUGUUUGUUUUUUUUAUGUUGGAUUUUCUGUAGUUUUGUUUUGUUUUAGCUAAAGUGACCUCUUGCCUAAUCCAUGUUUUACCGUAUCAAGUUCCAGAUUGGAAUAGGUAGGAUGAUAGCAUUUGGGGCUAUCUUGGCUAGAAGGCUCUCAACUUUAGGAACUUGCUUCCUCUCUUGGUCCAGCUGCUCCCAAAUUAUAACUGGGUGAGACUUCUCUACAGGAAUGAUGUUUUUCUCAUGUGGAAUGUAAUUUCUACUAAAUCAACAUUUUAUGUGAGGAAAAAUGAUUUUCUUAGACAGAAAAAUGAAAGACUAAUUUCAUUUUUUCACCAUUUCAUACAAAAUAGAAUUAUUUAACUGAUCUGAAAACUUUCAUUUCUUAUAAGGUCAGUAAAGCAUUAAACAGCAUUUCCUCUAGUGAUGGAUUGCCUUUUGGGUUUUUUAUUUCAGGCUACCAUGGAUUGGGCUUCCUAUGGAUUGGAGUCUCCCAUGGAUUGGGUUCCUUAUACAGUUAUAUUUCUUCUUAUUAAAUACCCAUUUUCCUUGGACUCAGCUUUGUGAUGUACCAUCUGACCAGAAAGCCAUGGCAAUAGAAGCAAAUGGAGAAGAUCAACAACUGCUGUGAGGUGCUGUGACACUAUUGAAAAGGCUAGUUCAAUAUGGAACUUACCCAAAAACAUUUUUUUUUCUAGUUCAGUAAACUGAAAUGAAAUAUUUUGAUUUUAGGAAUUCUGAAAUCUUUAGCUUUGAUUGAAAAUAUCCAUACAUUUCAUUUUAUAUUUAAAUGUAACAUUUUUAAGUACAAAAUUUUAACUUCAUUUCAAUGGAAUAAAAACAAAUAACUUAAAUGUGGAAUUUUCUGAAGGACAGAAGUAUCAAAUUUGGUGUUCUGUGUUGAAUUUAACUUUUUUCAUACUACUUUUCUGAGGAUAUUAUUUUUCAGAGAAAAAGGAUUUCAGUGGUUAUGUAUCUAUUAAUUUAAUAUAUUUAUUAAAUAACUAAUGUAAAUAAAUAUAUACCCACAAGCUGCCACAGAGGCAUAUCUUAUAAAUGUCUCAAUAAUUAUGAACUUCAUCUGUUGCGCUUGAAUUAGACUGAGUUCAUCAUAAAGAGUUGUGCCAUGAGAAUGCACACUAGUAAAAAAAAAUAAGAGGCACUUUACAUUCGACGUGUCACCGAUGGUUUGAAGAAAGUUAAGCUUGUCAAUUAUAUUUUUCUCAUUAGGUGCUGGCUUUAAGGUACCUUCCAAGCACAAAAAAGACAAGAUAAAUAGCUAUUUAAGACCUUAUCCAGCAUUUGUGCAUGAUGAAGUCAUUAGGAAUUUUACAUGUGGAAAGACUGCGGAAUUUGUCUCUAAUUAGUUGAUUAUUAUUAAACAUAAUUGAAAGCUUCAGGAAACUAUUCACUUUUUUGUGUUGCUGUUUCCUCUCUCCAUUAUUACCUGUUUGAAAAGCACAAAUCAAUAAAAGGACUUCUGCACCUAAGGUGAAACUUUGACAGAAUGUAAGUACCCAGUUCCCAGUGUGUGAUUCUACACAGCUAACCUCUCCGGUGCCUAAGAGUCUGUAGAUGCCUGUAUUUGUCCCAGUGCCAUUUCCUAUAAGGGUAUGUUCAGAAGUUGCUUUUUUGCCAUUUAAAGAGCUUUGUUGCUAUGACUUAACAUAAGUGCACAGCUUUCCAGCACUUAAAAAAUGGUUACAGAGCUUUAAAUUAACCCUUGUUAAAUGAGGGGUUAACUUUUAAGUGCUGCAUUUUACAGCACUUUAUCAACCUACAGCACUUUAAAUAACUUCUGGAUGCUGGUCAAAUUUUUGACCAGUGGAAAAUCACUAGGAGCCUGUGGAGAGCCCCCUGCCUCCUAGCCUGGUAAGUGCAAGGAGGCUCAGAGCCCCCGUCCCCUUAAACCAGGGGUUUUAAACCUUUUUUAAGCAGGGUACUCCUUCCGGUGGGUACUCCUUCCGGACGUAGAGCAGGGUUGGCGGGGGGGGAGGUGCUGACAGAUGGCCGGACGUGAAGCUGGCAGCGUGAGGAGCUCACAUAUGGCUGCCACUGCCGUCUAUACACUCUAUGUCACCACCGGGCACCGCUUUCCCUCACCCAAGUAUCUCUGCUUUUCCAUGCCACUGGCUUUGCAUCCAGCCGGCCAUCAGCACCCCCUCCCUUGUGCACAGCAGUGGCACUGGAAGCUCACAUGCAGCAGUUAACUACGCCACCAUCUAUACACUCAGUGCUGUCUACACAUGAUGGGGGGGUGCUGAUGGCUGGCUGCACAUGAAGUCAGUGGCACGGAGAAGCGGGGACACCUGGGCACAGGAAAGCUGUGAGCAGCACCCGGUGGCAGCAUGGAAUGAUGGAUGGCAGCAGUGGCCCUACCCCCCAUGCCACCACUUCCCAGGUACCCCAGCUUCUCCAGACUGCUGACGUUGUGUCCAGACAGCCAUCAGCAACACCUUCCCCUAGCCCCCAGCUGGCUGGACAUGAAGCUGGCAGCACUGAGAAGCAGAGGUACUUGGGCAUGGGGAAGCGGCGUUUGGUGCAUGGUGGCAAUGCGGAGUGAUAGAUGGUGGUGGUGACCCCACCUCGCCCCCCAUGCCGUCGCUUCUCAAGUACCCCCACUUCUCUGCACUACUGCUGCAUACUCCGUGGGGUCUUCCCAAGUACCCCCAGGGGUACACAUACCCCCAGUUGACAACCCCUGCCCCAAACACUGCACUUCGGUCAUGUUUAAGAAUUCUGUAACUUUAUAGUGCUAUAAAAAGUGCUCUAAAUUACAGUGCUGUAAAACAUGCACAGAGCACGUUUUAAGGUACAUAAGGGUUCCUAAAGGUUCCUAAAUUUCUGCUUGUGUUUUGAAAAAGCACUUCCUUGUUUUGGUGAAGCAGCUUGGUGCUGAAGCCCAUUGUGAUCCACAAAUUUAAAUACCCCUCCACCUAAGAAAAUGGAAAUGGUCUUUGUUUUCCCAUUGUUGGCCAUCUAUUGUAUAAUAGUUUAGUGGUUAAAACACUGACACACAAAGUGGGGGACCUGAAUUCAAUGCCCUUCUCAGCUUGACAAGUUUUAAUUCUACAUCUGCACUCUCUGAGAAGUCCCUAACAAUCAAGCUAAAGGCUUGGAUGAUGGCCUUCUCCAUACCUCCUGCUGAAGCUGUGACGUCAUGCAGUGAAAAAUCAAGUUUUAUAAGGUCAGAGAGAAGGCAAGCAAGAUGGUGAAUGAUUCUCUAAGCCAAUUAUUAGGGCUCCCAUCAAAAGGGAAAUCCUGGGUUCUGGUCUCUACUAUCAUGGCUGCUUAUUCAUCUUAUCCAAAUGCUAAAUUCAUAAGCUGUCCUUGAACUAAGCAGGAAAACCCAGGACUGCCAAUCACAAGUGACUGCCUUAAUCACUGGAUUAGAAGUCAUGAACCUUCCUCUUGUGUUUACCUGCAUGCUGUUUUUCCCCAAGAGUCUAAAAUACUUUGCUGCUCAGUAGCUCAACUUUGAUGGAAGGUUCCCCCUCCUACAGUCCCCUAUUUCUGAAUGGUUAAGGCACUCUCCUAGGAGGUGGGAGAUGUGGGUUUAGACCCUAUUUCUUGGUAGUGCUCUAAACACAAGGUAUUGUGUAAAAAGCAGGCACUUUCAUCACCACUUCUUUAAAAGAAAGAGUAAGGCUGUCUUCAUUUCUCAAUAAGGACAACUCAAACACCUCACUCCAUGGAGGGAAGGAGAAAAGGGUGGGGUGGAUGGGUAUGAGAAUCCUGACAUCAUAUAAAAUGCAUCUACACUGGCUCUGCAUUGCUGCUGAAAAAGAAGCCCUGCCUAGAACCAAGGUUAUGUCCACAAGUACUGCAGUGUUAGAGAUAAAAUAGGUUGAAGAUAUAAUCUUCUAAUCUCUUAAGCAUUUUUGUUGGCUCAGUAUGCUGGUUGUCAUCAGUCCCAUUCUGCAGCACCUAGCUCCCCUCAUGCGCUACAUAGAGUUUAGGUUCCUAACUCAAGGCUGUGAAUUCCACUCCAAGACCAACUGAUUUAGACUUAUUUAAACAUUCAUCCACACACCAGUUUGUAGAUUAUAUUCCUCCAUUCUUCCCAGUUUCCAGUAUGAUUUGGUCCACUUACUCUAGGAGAUUAUAAAUCAGUGUAAAUCACAUGAUUUAAGCCUAGAAAAAUGCAUAAAACAAGGUGAUGUAAGGACAUUAGUUAGCUGAAAUAUUCUGAGUCCCCCCUUUAUCUCAUUGGUGGGUAAAUUGCAUAUAUGUAGAUUCCCUUACACAUGUUUGAAUGAGUUAAAGUAGAUCUAAGUCUGACUCCAAGGAGUUAAUCUAUAUUACUUUAUGAAAUAUCUUCGAGUUUUUAGCCUGUAAUUAAAAUAAAAACUCACAGCAUUGAUUAUUUUCAUAAGUAGUACUAUUUGUUAUUUGUCUCUAUUAUUCAGGCUAAAGAGAGGCUCAUUUACAUAAUCUGAUGGCACGUGUGUGUCUGUGUGUGUGUGUAUUCUUCAAUAUACCCAUUUGCUAGUAAGCAGUUACAUUUUUCCACUAAUUGUGAACUGACAAAGGUUAUGUGUGGUGUCUAAGUAUAAAAUUACUGUAUGAAAAAGCAGCUAGAGGCAUAUUCUCAUUCAGUAAAUAUGCUGCUUUUCUGCAUGGAUAUUUUGGUGGAUUUUUUUAAACUUCUUGGAUAAGUGUCACUGUUAUAAUCUUUUAAUUAAUACUGUGCUGCCGAGUGAAGGCAUGAAUGAAUGCUACUGGCUGUUAUUGCCAUAGUGCCCAGAAGGAUGCUACUGUUUUGCCAAAAAUGUUCUGUCACUAAUGUGAGGCCUGUUGACAGACUGUUGUUUAUAUGUGUCAACAUGAUGCCAAGUCGAUUGUUUCACUACAGGAAUCCUGGCUUGGCCCCAGUGGCUGUCUGAGGCUUUGUAGACAAAAAGAUACUUUCAUAGUGGCAUAUGAAAGGGAAAGGCUCUGUAGACUUUUAUCUUGUUGAUACUGUAACUGUGCUCCCAUAAAAAAGCUAAGAAAAUUAAUAAUUAAACAAUUCUGAAGAACAGUAUUGUGUAUUCUAUUAUGUACUCUCUGGUCAGAGGGAGAACUG